AUGCGCUUUCCUCAUUGGUUCGUUCUAAAUUCAAAAAAAACAAAAUGGCCGUUCAAAAGCGAAGAAAUGUAACGGUUGAAGCAGUGCAAAAUUAUGUCGAUUUGCUAGCUUUUUCUUAGUUUUUAUCUGGAAAUAUGUGUCUAUAUAAUGGUCUACACAUUUGUAGUUGUUCUUCUUAUGCGUUUGAUAGCCACAAACGGCUGCUUGAACGUUUGAUUUAAUACUGUUUUUGGGGAAUUUAUGUCUCUGUGUUUGUGUUUGUGUGGCUAGCUGGCACUAUGUUUUAUUUGUGUAAGCAUCAAAAGUGAUUUGCAUUUGUGUACUGUUUUUUUGGGAAGCUUAGGUAGCCUUUGGUUUGUAUCUUGUGAAUUAAGACUAUGUGCUUUGACUGCGAGUUCGUCUAUGAGCUCCCUAAUAGGAAACGUUUGCUCAGCUUGUCUUUUGAUGAUGAAUAUAAAGCUAAACUUUCAGUUUGUGCUAAUACUAUACUCCCUGUGUUAUAUAUAUAUGUUGUAUAUUUUGUACUGUCGCUAGGCAAUAUUGGCUAUUAUUGUUGUUUUUUACAGCAAUAUAUCGCAGAAGUAGCUAUAUAUAAGAGGACUUUUGUUGUCAUUUAUUACGUUAAACCUAAAACUGGCUUGGACAAAAAAACCUGGGACAGAAGAUUGUCCUUGUUUGCAAAUGGAGAAUAUACGUUUGGUCGGGGGCAGUCCACUUUUUUCUUAAUCAUCUGUUUUGCUUUUGAUUUUCCUUUCAAUUUUUCCGAAAGUUGCCUUUUCCUUACUUAUUCAACCUUAAAUUUUUAUUUUAACUGAUAAUUUUUAUAUAUAUAUAUAUUUUACUAUUUUUUUACUAAUUUCGACACAUACGCAGGACAAACAUUUAUAGCAGUUUUUACAACUGAAAUUUUCAUCCUGUAUAAGCAUUUUUAAAUGAUAAUGAUAAUAAUAAUAAUAAUAAUAAUAAUAAUAAUAAUAAUAAUAAUAAUAAUAAUAAUAAUAAGAAUAUGCUUUUUCAUUUUCGGAUAGAUUUGCAUCACUUUUCGGAUAGAUUUGCAUCGUUCGGAUAGACUUGCAUCGGUACCGGAUAGAUUUGCAUCGCUAUCGGAUAGAUUUGCAUCGCUAUCGGAUAGAUUUGCAUCAUUUCCGGCUGCCGUGUAAUUUUUUACAUUUCUAAAAUGGCACCUUGAGGCGGACGACGAGCAAGAGCAGCUAUAUAAACUGCUACUGCUUAUUUAUUUUGUGUACCCUCCAAAUGUUUUAACCGUUCAUAUGGAAAUUGGUAGAACCGUUGGAAAUUGUUAAAAAUAUGUCGCCAUUGUUACGUCAGCGUGCAGCAAGAUUAAUUAUACUUGAAAAGAAUGGCGUCAAAUUCUGUUUUCAAUAAACGAAGAAAGUAUCCAAAUUGUUACAUAUUUUUUUCCAUAAAAGCCUUCUUGCUUGUCAACUACCGUGUCCGACCAACAAUACGUACGAAAACUCAUUUGCAAUCCUGUUUUUAUGCAGCUACUUGUAUUAUAGGACGACAGAUUUAUGUAAAUUGACAGGUAGACCUAAUUGCAACGCACGACAUGGUCUACAGACGGUAUCCUACAUUGGAGCAAAUUUGUGGGAUGUGCUUCCGGUAUAAAGGAAGCUGAAAGUCUGAACUCAUUUUCUUCACAGCCUGAAGUCUUAUUAUUUUUAUUAGAUCUAUUUAUUUUUAUAUCGUCAAUUUAGCCAAGUGUAGUCGUACUCUUCUAUCAAAUCCUAUACAUGACUUCAUACAAGAGGUGACAUUUCCAUUUGUAUCCUUUUAAUUGACGUUAAAUAAAUUUAUGUCUGUUUA